AUCUCUUCUCUGCUCUUUCUCUCUAUCAACACACAGUCUCUUUAUGUAAGAUACUGUAGAUUUAUAAUGUGUGGAGAAAGAAGAGAAAGCUUGCUUGGGACACCUUUCACCUUUUUAUCUUGCCUUCGCGUAACAGUCUGUAAUGGGAAAAAUACGAAAUGACGCAGAGUCGUAGAAGUCAAGACGAAGAUACCAUCCUUUUUUACUUUACCAAAUUACCCUCCGAGUAAACCGGGUUUACCAAUACAAUGACAACCGGUUU